rnacentral:rRNA from 1 species
UACGAAGGGGGCUAGCGUUGUUCGGAUUUACUGGGCGUAAAGCGCACGUAGGCGGAUCGUUAAGUGAGGGGUGAAAUCCCAGGGCUCAACCCUGGAACUGCCUUUCAUACUGGCGAUCUCGAGUCCGGAAGAGGUGAGUGGAACUCCUAGUGUAGAGGUGGAAUUCGUAGAUAUUGGGAAGAACACCAGUGGCGAAGGCGGCUAACUGGUCCAGUACUGACGCUGAGGUGCGAAAGCGUGGGGAGCAAACAGG